GUAGGUGGCAAGCGUUAUCCGGAAUUAUUGGGCGUAAAGCGCGCGUGGGCGGUUUUUUAAGUCUGAUGUGAAAGCCCACGGCUCAACCGUGGAGGGUCAUUGGAAACUGGAAAACUUGAGUGCAGAAGAGGAAAGUGGAAUUCCAUGUGUAGCGGUGAAAUGCGCAGAGAUAUGGAGGAACACCAGCGGCGAAGGCGACUUUCUGGUCUGUAACUGACGCUGAUGUGCGAAAGCGUGGGGAUCAAACAGGAUUAGUUACCCUGGUAGUCCACGCCGUAAACGAUGAGUGCUAAGUGUUAGGGGGGUUUCCGCCCCCUUAGUGCUGCAGCUAACGCAUUAAGCACUCCGCCUGGGGAUACGACCGCAAGGUUG
rnacentral:rRNA from 1 species